ACGACUUCUCAUCCCCUAGAUUACUAAACCUGACACGAAUGACCAAGAGCCAACAUAGAACUAGUCAAGCUAGAGUUCUCUCAAUAACAAUCCAAAGACAUCAACAAUCCAUUACACAAUCAAUUAAUCUCCUUAUGUUAGUUACCAAGUCAAGUGCUCAGAGGGAUUUAUGCAUACCAGGAUGCGACGUCGCGUGGAAUCUAUGAUUCAGGUAAAACACACACCAAGCCUGAUUUAUCUUGUCCUUUCUUUUCAACUGCUGAAAGAGGUUUCACUACGUUCUAGAGCCAACAUAGAACUAGUCAAGCUCAGAUCUUCCACAAACGGAAACCAAUUGAUCUCCUCAUCUCUCGACCUUUUAUUCCUCAAAUCUUUCAAUGAGAAACUGCUCAAACAGAUGGAGACAAUGCUCUCUUAUGAUCCGAACACGAGUUUAGCUAACUCUCUAGUGAUCUUCUCUUUAGCCUCACAAUCAAGACCUUCAAACAAUUGAUUGCCAUCGUC